GCGAGCGUAGCGCAGUAGGUAGCGCGUUAGUCUCAUAAUCUAAAGGUCGCGAGUUCGAAUCUCGCCGUUCGCA